rnacentral:rRNA from 1 species
UACGAAGGGGGCUAGCGUUGCUCGGAAUCACUGGGCGUAAAGCGCACGUAGGCGGCUUUCUAAGUCAGGGGUGAAAUCCUGGAGCUCAACUCCAGAACUGCCUUUGAUACUGGAGAGCUUGAGUCCGGAAGAGGUGAGUGGAACUCCGAGUGUAGAGGUGAAAUUCGUAGAUAUUCGGAAGAACACCAGUGGCGAAGGCGGCUGACUGGACAUGUAUUGACGCUGAGGUGCGAAAGCGUGGGGAGCAAACAGGGAUUAAGAAACCCUGGUAACGUCCGAGAACC